UCUGUGCCCCUCUCUGCUCUCUGCCCCAGGAGGCUGAGCUCUUUGGACCUCACCAGUGAGCUCUCUUGUCUUCUGGCUUGUCUUGGGGUUUGACAACAGAGAGCUCCAGCAGGAGGUCAGAAGGAGAGGGGAGGAUAACUGAAGCUGAGCCAUCCCUUGACAUCAACUAUAUGAAGGAGAAUUUUCCCAAGGAUGAACUGCACCUAUUCUUGCUGCCUUAACCAGAAUACAUGGAACAAAAUCAAACUUUUCUGCCAUAAGGCUGUCUGUCCUCUCACAAGUGACGAUGUCCUCAGGCUCUCAUGAGGUAUGGAGAGUCUGUGUCUGCUACACUUAAUGACCUCAGACGGACAUGUUUUUGAGGUAUAAGCCUCUCAGAAGGCCAAACGUAAACACGGUUCCUGCCCAGCUGGUCUUCUCCUUUGAUAACC